CACUAAAACAAAUUCCUUGUAUGUGCAAGCAUUCUUGGCAAUAAAGCUCUUUCUGAUUCUGAUUUCUGAUUCAUUUAUCAUAUAGUAAUAAUAUAUUUUUUUAAAUAUUUGAAUGAUUAAAAUAAGUAUAAUUAUUAUUAAAUUAUUAAAAUAAUUAUCAUUGGUUGUUAUUAUCUUAGCAGAUAAUUUCCUUUUGAUGUUAAUUGUUGUUGUUAAAUCAAAAACCAUAGUUACUACACUUGCUAUAAUAAAACCAUUUUUAUACAUUUUUAUGAAGGUCUGUCCAUUUAGAACAAAAUGUGCAUGCAUGUUUAUGUAGAAAUAAUUGAACACACCCCCGGAUAAGGAUCUUAAAAGCUAUGCUUUAAAGCACAACAUUUCUGUUUAUUUUAAUACAAUAAAUAUUUAAUGUUAAACAAGUUCUAAUUUUCAGUCCGUCUGAACGCAGUGCUUCGCUAUGAGAAACACUUUCUUUACCAUCUUUAUUGUGUUUUAACAUGUUGUCUUUUGUCAUGUGUUAUUAGGCAUGUUCGACUUCAUGAAGCGCUGCGAGAACCCACAUCAUAUGUUGAUGACGUAAACGUAUCGCGAGACUGAGUCAAGAAAUUACACGUAGAGGUCUAAUUUCGACCCGCUCUCGCGGUACAUUGACGUCAUCAUCAUGUCAGCGCCGCAUGAGGUCAAACACACCUAUUAUUUGCGGGCACGCGCCUCCGUCCUCGUGAGUUUAAAAACUGAAUUUAACCGAUGUUUACCUCAGACUACAGUUUUCGUUUCUGUGAUAAAUUCUGAGCUAAUUUUCUUGUUGUGUUUGAUCUUUUCCAUUGGCUGAAGAAUGCUGUGACAAAAAAGCAACCAGGACACCACAUCUGCAGUGACAGAGAGCAGGAUGGGGGAGGAAUCAAAAGGACCAGAAGAUAAUAUCAACUGGUGCCCCUGAGGAGAUUCACAUUGUUCUGUUUCUUUUGUUUAGUAAUAAGUGGUUUUAUGUGAUUUUGUAAAAUAAAAGAAAUUCAGUAUUCAAUCCACAUGUUUUGCACAUAAUUUUCUAUAUUUUACUUCCGUGUAUUUACAGCCAGGGUGCCUACUGUAUUUAUUGCCCAAUGUGCCCACACGUUGCCCACAGUUAGCCCAAACUUUGCCCAGUGUGCCCACAUUAAAUCCACACUUUGUCCACAGUAAGCCCACACUUUGCCCAGUGUACCCACAGUUAGCCCACACUUUGCCCACAGCCCACACUUUGCUCAAUGUGCCCACAGUUAGCCCACACUUUGCCCAAUGUGCCCACAGUUAGGCCCACAAUUUGCCCACAGUUAUCCCACACCUUGCCCAAUGUGCCCACAGUUAGCCCACACUUUGCCCAAUGUGCCCACAGUAAGCCCACACUUUGCCCAAUGUGCCCACAGAAAGCCCACACUUUGCUCAAUGUGCCCACAGUAAACCCACACUUUGCCCACAGUUAGCCCACACUUUACCCAAUGUGCCCACAGUAAACCCACAGUUAGCCCACACUUUACCCAAUGUGCCCACAGUUAGCCCACGCUUUGCCCAAUGUGCCCACAGUAAGCCCACACUUUGGGCUGUCCCACUGGGGCCCCAUUGUGGGCCCAUAGUGUGGGGCCCACACGUGCCCCGCAUUUCACGCCGGUAGUGGGGCCCACAGGGGCAGCCCGCUGUGGGCCCCAAUUUUUUGCCCGCAGUGGCCCCACCUGGGGCCCAAUGGGACAUGUUUGCUGGGCAGGUGAUGCCGUUAGGGACUCCGCCUUGAGCCAUCUAGCCUUUAUAUACAUAUCUAUGCAGCCAGCUACAGUGGUUGGGUGCGCCGCUCUAAUUUGCACGUUUAGAACGUUAUGCGUCGGAUUAGUUCCGCUUUUGGCGCUCGCGUGUAAAAUCAAAAUAAAUGUAUACUUUUUUAUUUAGUCAGCACGGGGUGGCCACAGGGGUGGCCAGGGACUUGUCUACAGAGGCACGGGCCACCCUUGGCCUCCGUGUAGAACCGCCACUGCACAAGGUCAAUAAAUGCUGCAUAACAUUU